rnacentral:rRNA from 1 species
UUGGGACGAUUUAGCAUGCUAGUCGCACGAGUUCAGACUCGUGGCGAAUAGCUCAGUAACACGUGGCCAAACUACCCUUCGGAACACAAUACCCUCGGGAAACUGAGGCUAAUAGUGUAUACCAUACCACCACUGGAAUGAGUGGUAUGCCAAACGCUCCGGCGCCGAAGGAUGUGGCUGCGGCCGAUUAGGUAGACGGUGGGGUAACGGCCCACCGUGCCAAUAAUCGGUAUGGGUCAUGAGAGUGAGAACCCAGAGACGGAAUCUGAGACAAGAUUCCGGGCCCUACGGGGCGCAGCAGGCGCGAAACCUUUACACUGCACGACAGUGCGAUAGGGGGAUCCCAAGUGCACAGGCAUAGCGCCUGUGCUUUUCGGUACCCUAAGGCGGUACCAGAAUAAGGGCUGGGCAAGACCGGUGCCAGCCGCCGCGGUAAUACCGGCAGCCCAAGUGAUGGCCGAUCUUAUUGGGCCUAAAGCGUCCGUAGCUGGCCGCGCAAGUCCAUCGGGAAAUCCACCUGCUCAACAGGUGGGCGCCCGGUAGAAACUGCGUGGCUUGGGACCGGAAGGCGCGACGGGUACGUCCGGGGUAGGAGUGAAAUCCCGUAAUCCUGGACGGACCGCCGAUGGCGAAAGCACGUCGCGAGAACGGAUCCGACAGUGAGGGACGAAAGCCAGGGUCUCGAACCGGAUUAGAUACCCGGGUAGUCCUGGCCGUAAACAAUGUCUGCUAGGUGUGGCUCCCACUACGAGUGGGUGCUGUGCCGUAGGGAAGCCGCUAAGCAGACCGCCUGGGAAGUACGUCCGCAAGGAUGAAACUUAAAGGAAUUGGCGGGGGAGCACUACAACCGGAGGAGCCUGCGGUUUAAUUGGACUCAACGCCGGAACAUCUCACCAGCAUCGACUGUAGUAAUGACGAUCAGGG